CAGCAUGGGAGUCAGGUACCAGGACUAACCCCGGAGCUUCCCAGCCCUGUGACAGGGAAGCUGGGGACAGGCGCGUCAGCCUCCCGUGAAAGGACACAGCCCGGGAGCCCAAGGUAAACGCCCCCGGAGCAGCCAGGGUCUCAGGGACACAGCCGGCCCUCCUCUCCACAGGUCCCACAGCCAGCACCUCAGUCACUUAUACAAAAUGACAUGUUUGCACAGACCUACCCACGCCAGCGUCCACCUUACAGCGACCUAGGUGACACGCAAUGCCCAACGCAAUGUCAGCGCCAUGUGAAUCGCUGUUCAACUGUGUCGUUCAGGGCACAAAACAGGGACGACGUCUACCUCUGUGUUCACUUCAACCACCCAGGCCUGGCUGCGCUCAGCCGUGGACUGUCGGGUCUGGGGUGCAGAGCCGCAGGCAGAGAGCCGACCGUGCUCAUGGGACCGGCCCACGCCACCACAGAGGCUGACGCCCCGGAGCUGCAGGGCAGGUGGCGUGCGGGACUCAGACAGGGCUAGGGCGGAAUCCCUCUUGCUGGGAAGCCUCUGAGGGCUUUGGGCAACUGAGUGAGGACCCCCAAACAACAGGACGCAACUUUCCUUAACGCCGACUGACCGCAGGUGUCAGCAGCAUCUACAAAAUGCCUUCCCAGCGACACCCUGACUAGUGUUAUUUACCUGGGUGCCACAGUCCGACCGCAGUGACCUGUGAAACUGACCGUCAUACCUGCCAGUUUCCCUGUCUUGUUGGCCAAGCCCAAGGACGGCCAGAGGCGGAGGGGUUCCAGCCCAUCUGUCCCAGCCGCAGGAUGGGAGGAGGUACCCAGGGCAAGAAGACCUCGGCCCAGACGGGGGUCCAGGGUGCCCGGUGGCCCUCUGCAGGCAGACCCAGGAGGGCUUCUCAGAGCCUGGCCACUGGCCCCCCGCUGGAGAGACCCCACCUGGCAGGGGCCUUCUCCUCCCCCAGUGCUGCCUAACGUG
rnacentral:lncRNA from 1 species